rnacentral:lncRNA from 1 species
AAGUAAUAUUAAAUUAAUUAAUACAACGUAUAUAUAUUCGAUAAAAGGAGCGAGAAGGAAAGAGGCAUUAGGAAAGAGAAGGGAAUAAUAAGAGAGAGAGAAAACCCGCCCGUUUCCCCACUCUUUCUCCUAAUCCCACCGCGGCAGCUCGUUACCCCCACCAAUGUUCUCGCAGCACGAGCAACUCGCGAUGUAUCGCGAGGGGCAGAGCCGAGGUCGGCCGAAGAGGGCCGAGCACGGCCGAACGGUUGUUCGAAUCGCGGCUCCCGCGUCAGUGCUGCAACCGCGUCCGCGGUCCACGGUUCACGAUUUCCGGGCCUUGCCGGUUCUGUUUUUUCCCCGCUCGUCACAACGAAACAAAAAAAGAAAAGAAGAGAAGCAAGGACGAUAUCCGUUUUCCAGGAGGAGACGCGUGCUACCCGUGCAGCGAGAGAAAGUGAUCGAUCGACAGCAUUCGCGGGAGGAAGUUGUGGAGAAAAAUUACGGUCGCUUUUCCGGUGGCAGCGUUUUCCCGCCACUUUUCGUUGCCGGUAAAAUGGCCGCGGUUACGAUACCAUCCUUUCCACGGAAUUCGGAGUUGGAAUUUCUCGUGCAGUGAGCCAGAACGAACGAGCAGAGGACUCUCAGCUGCAAGGAAAGACAACGAGAACAGGUGAACGGCUUCGAGCUACUGUUUAUCAUGAGACACAUCGAUCUUGCUGCAUCGUGGACCGUUGUUCGGGAGAUGGUUGUCGUUUCGAUGGCGAGCCGGUAGGCUUGUUCGAGAAUUUCACGAGUCAUUUCUGCGUUUCCUGGAUCUCGAGGAACGCGAUCAUGGAACUGGUAUUGGGAGUGCCGUGCGAGCAGCUGAUCUGUAAAUGCGAGUGACAGUCGAUGGUGAUGCGGUGAGAAAGAGUGCAAUGACAGUGGGAAACGAAGUCCAACUGUCGGCAGAGCUGAUUACAGGGACGUCCUGAAGGGAGCUCGGACGAAUGGGAGAGAGUAAUAAAAUAAUACGAUAAAGAGUGCAGUUUUGAAGUGCAAUAUCACGAGUAACCAGUGUGCAAUAAUAAACGUUCGACCGAGACUUUUCGCGAGGAAAAGUGCGUGUCGAUCGUGUGCCUAUGUGUAUGUGUGUGUGUGCGAGACACCGAGAGGGACAGAAAGACACGGACCGUAGAUAAGAUAGACGAAGAAGGAAGAUAAUAUAGAAUAAUCUAGUCAAAAGAUCGAACAAGGAACGAUAUUAUUUUUAACAGAAACGUUUUUCAUCGGUUUGGACUCGAUCGAAGGCUACGAGCCGAAUCACGACGCUGGAAGGAAAGAGAUAGACGGACAGCGAAAACAUCAGCUCAGUGUGGUACGUACACCCUUGACGCCGUUUGUAACCGACACGUUAUGUUUACAUCGUGCACGAAGUUAUCCAUAGUUCGAGUUCGGUCGUUCGCGACGUAACACGUACGCCAUAUUUCGUGCGUUCGAUUACUGUUACUUUCGAUCAUCAUUACGUUUUUCGGAACACAUGUAACGUAAAUAUUCCGUUCCCUCGAAUAUAGUGCGUUUUUCAAUUUUGAAAAUUCACGGUGCAAAAUGCGUGGGAAUGGGACAAAACUUUUUAUCGAAAUACAGUAGCGAAUUAUUCGAAAAGUGUAUUGGUCGUUAUUAUUUCUCACUUCAAAGAGAAGAAGAGGAGGAGGAGGAGGAGGAAAAAGAGGAAGAAGAAGAGGAGGAGGAGAUAAUAAGAAACUCGACGUUUUUCGAGCAUUGUACGUGGAUCGUGUUCAAUUUAGAAGAAAAUUUGGAAGGGAAAUUCGUACCGGCAGUGCGAUCAAGUGUUCGCAGUGACGUAAUAAGGAACCGUGGCGCCUCGGGACUAUUCUACGGUGCCGAACGUAUUUCUCGUUGCCGAGAAUCGAGUGUUUGGACGCGGGAAACCGAUUAAGUGACUGUAUUAGGUGUUCUUAGUGAAAUAUGUAUCCGUGGUAUCGGGACAGCGUCGCAGCAGCGGCGGCAGCCGGCCUCGGAGGCCCCGUCGGAGUCGUCGGUUCCGGGUUCUGCUCCACCGGUCCAGGACAAGGCGGCACCACGAUCAAGACCGAGAGCGGAUAUUCGGAUUGUAUGCUGGCCCUGGACUACGUGCAGAGUAAGAAAGCUUCUUUCGCGCA